AGCUUCAAGAAUACGCGGAGGAGGUGGCCCGGGUCGGCGUCGGCGCCGUCCGGCGCGGGCCACGGGCCCGCUUCCAAGUGCGUCUGCGCGCCGGCCACCCUCGCUGGGUCCUUCAAGUGCCGCUUCCACCGCACCAACUCUCAGGGCCGCGGUCACGGCCAGGACCAGGGAAGCCGCCCUUCUUCGCCCCCUUCACCGGCCGCGGCCAACACGAUGCCGCGGCACCCGGCCUCGCCGUCCUCGUCCUCCGGCACCGUCGCGACCCAGUGA
rnacentral:rRNA from 1 species